AAGUCGUAACAAGGUUUCCGUAGGUGAACCUGCGGAAGGAUCAUUAUUGAGUUUUAAAGUUCUAUAGUUAACUGUCUUGUGCAGUUGAUUGUAGUUCUUUUCUUAUCUCUUAUCCCUUUUGUUAUUAUUUCUUAGUUGCUUUGGCAGUUGAUUUUGUUAUCUUCUGCCAAACGGCUUUUUCAAACACUUUGUUAUCCAACAAUUAAGAUAUCUUUUGUCUAAUUCUUACGACUUGAAUAAGUAUGUAAAACUUUCAACAACGGAUCUCUUGGUUCUG
rnacentral:misc_RNA from 1 species